CAGUAGCCGCGGUAAUACGAAGGUCCCGAGCGUUGUUCGGAAUCACUGGGCGUAAAGGGAGCGUAGGCGGCGUGGUAAGUCAGAUGUGAAAUCCCGGGGCUCAACCCCGGAACUGCAUCCGAUACUGCCAUGCUAGAGGAUUGGAGAGGUAGCUGGAAUUCUUGGUGUAGCAGUGAAAUGCGUGGAGAUCAAGAGGAACACUCGUGGCGAAAGCGAGCUACUGGACAAUAACUGACGCUGAGGCUCGAAGGCCAGGGUAGCGAAAGGGAUUAGAUACCCGUGUAGUCCCUGUCUCUUAUAC
rnacentral:rRNA from 1 species